UACGGGGGGAGCAAGCGUUGUUCGGAUUUACUGGGCGUAAAGGGCGCGUAGGCGGCCACCGCAAGUCGACUGUGAAAUCUCCGGGCUUAACCCGGAAAUGGCAUUGAAUACUAUUGAGCUGGAGGUUUGGAGGGGGGACUGGAAUUCUCGGUGUAGCAGUGAAAUGCGUAGAUAUCGAGAGGAACACCAGUGGCGAAGGCGAGUCCCUGGACAACACCUGACACUGAGGCACGAAAGCUAGGGGAGCAAACAGG
rnacentral:rRNA from 1 species